rnacentral:rRNA from 1 species
UACAGAGGUGGCAAGCGUUGUUCGGAAUUACUGGGCGUAAAGGGCGUGUAGGCGGCCAACUAAGUCCGACGUGAAAUCCCCAGGCUUAACCUGGGAACUGCGUCGGAUACUGGAUGGCUUGAAUCCGGGAGAGGGAUGCAGAAUUCCAGGUGUAGCGGUGAAAUGCGUAGAUAUCUGGAGGAAUACCGGUGGCGAAGGCGGCAUCCUGGACCGGCAUUGACGCUGAUGAGCGAAAGCUAGGGGAGCAAACGGGG